AUGGAGGAACCCCCGUCGGCGCCACCACAACCCCCACCGCCACUCCCCCACCCUCCUUCGGUGCCGCAUCAUGGUGGAAUCGUCGCUGGCGCUUCCCCAGGUCUCUCGCCCACCGCAUCUCUGAUGCUAUCUAGGUGGCGCUUCAUGGCGGAACCGCCGCCAGCGCUUCCCCAGCCCUUGUCGCGCGGCCCCAUCGCCGCCGCGCCUGUACCACCGCGUCUCACCACGUCUUCGAUGGCCAACACAUGGGGCCCAGCAGCACCAACCUCUCCGAGUGGCCAUGUCGCCCAGAACCCUAGCAUUGGGGAUUCCAGCGAGGUGGAGAGUGGGGCAGUGGCGCCGACGGCCGAGGCCCUCCCCAAGAUCAACUCCUUUGUGGGCGCACUUGCAGCAGCCCAUCUGCCCCAGAAUUCCAUGCCCGACGAGGAGGACGGCAUAGCUGAUGAAUGUGGCUCGACCUCUCUCUCUGCUAUUUGCGCUAGGAUGAUCCAGUCUUGUAGCUAUACAGUAGAGGUGAAGAAUAGGAGUGGCCAUUUGAUCAUCAAAUAUUCCGAGAGAAAUGAUAAUGUUGAUGUUCCAUGUACUCCUUCGAACCAAACACCAUCUAUAGCACUGCCUAGUCAACCAAGUAGUGUCAUUGAUGAAGCUAGUGUAUGCCUAACAGAUACAUAUCUUGACAAUCCGCAUGAAGAAUAUGAACAUGUUGGUGUAGAUGAGGAGGACCAGUACUCAAUUGGCAGUGUUGGUUCCGAUAGUGAUGAUGAGGUCAAAGAAAAAGAUAUACCAAAUAAUGAUUAUGUUGAGGAUAGCAGUGAUGAUGAGGAAUGGGUUGCAGAAGAUGCUAGACCGGAUGCUAUUCCAGAAAAUGCUUAUGACAAAGAAAACCCGCCAAUGCAUGUUGGCGCAAAGUACCCUAACAUUGAAGAGUUUAGGUUGGCAAUUGCUACAUAUGCUGUAAAGAAAGAGUUCGAAUUCAAGGUUGAAAAAAGUGAACCUACUCGAUUCAGGGCUUAUUGUCGCCGGGCAAAGAAGACGGAUUGUAAAUGGAGAAUUCAUGUUGGGAGGUUGGAUGACCAAGAAACUAUGGAGGUCAAAGUUCAUGUGCAGGAGCACACUUGUUCUAGCGCAAAGAAGAAAAAGAAGCAGAAAAAUGCUUCAAAGGCAUGGGUGUGUGAGAAAGUCAUGGACUGGGUAAAAGAAGAUCCUAGUGUUCGGCCGAUGGAGUUACGGAGGAGGCUACAUGACAAGUACAAGAUCAACGUCCAAUACAUGAAAGUAUUCCGUGGCAAAGGGCUAGCAAUGGCUAAGUUGUUUGGUAACUGGGAUGAUUCUUUUGACAAGCAAUAUGCUUGGAAAGCUGAGGUUGAGAAGAGGUCUCCUGGAAGCAUAGUUGCGAUUGACCACAUGGAGUAUGAUCAGAAAAAAUAUUUCAUACGGAUGUUUGUUGGGCUGAAGCCUUUGUGCGAUGGAUUCUUGGCUGGCUGCAGACCUUACUUGGCAAUAGAUAGCACUCAUUUGACAGGCAAGUACAGAGGCCAAUUAGCUACUGCUUGUGCCGUUGAUGGGCACAAUUGGUUGUAUCCUGUAGUCUAUGGAGUUAUUGACUCAGAAACUACUGAAAGUUGGGUGUGGUUUUUGGAGAAGCUUCGUGAUGCUAUUGGCUCUCCCCCUGGUCUAGCUAUAUGUUCAGAUGCGGGAAAAGGGAUUGACACUGCAAUCGAACAGGUCUUUGGGUAUGCAGAACAUAGAGAAUGCAUGCGACAUUUGGUUGUGAACUUCAAGAAAAAGUUUCAUGGUAAAGUUUUUGAUGAUCAUUUGUGGCCGGCUGCUUAUUCAUGGACUCCUCGAGGGUUUGACUAUCACAUGGCAGCCGUAGAGGAGAAAAAGGCUACUGCAAUAGCAUAUUUAAACAAGUACCACAGCAGGCUAUGGUCAAGGAGCAAAUAUUCAACCUCCUCAAAAGUGGAUUAUGUGACAAAUAAUUUGGCCGAGUGUUUCAACAACUAG
rnacentral:rRNA from 1 species